UAUGGUGAAGAUAAAGGCAUUUUCUGACCUCUACCUAUACACUAACCUUCGCUGGGUCAUACAGCUUAUAAAAGAUGACAUUUCACUUCCAAGUCAUUAGAAUUUCAAGGAGAUUUUUGGCCAUUGUUUUUACAUCCAUCACUUAUUUUAUGUUUAAGUUAUAGGUGUGUGUUUUCUUCUUUAUUUCUGAAUGAGCAAUUCUUCACCAUUGGAACUUUAGUUCAUUUCAAACUAACUUUUUUACAUUUAUUAUGGCAAAUUCUCAGUUACUUACUAUACCUAAGUCAAGGUUAUCACGGAGUUCACACAACACUCUGCUAUUCCCAAAUACAAGACCUUUGUGAAUAACAAAUACAUAGAUCAAAUUCAGUGAUUCCAAGAUAUUAUCUCAUGUAUAUAUCUCCUCAAAAUAGGCCUGCAUAUUUUCACCUCAAUGAAAGACAAGCGAGAAAAUCAGUAUGAUUAAAUUAAUUUUCACUAUGAAUAUCUAGUUCAGAGAUUUCAAAUUUGUGGUCCCUGAGUUAAAAUAAGCAUAGACAGCUAGCUAGCUAGCUAGCCCACAGUAUUUGAAACUUCUCACUAACAUUUAAUAAUCAGUAGAUUUUACAUAAAAAAAUCCAGAUUUCCAACUUCCCUUAAAAACUGGAAAAUCUUUUCGCCCAACCCAGAUUUGCACAUGGCAAUUAUGAGCUGGAGUGGGGCAGUCAAAUGAACUUUCCAGUUCUCCAACAGUCACCACCAUUCCCUAGUGUCUUGCACCUUCUGGUUCAGUUAUGCAAUUAUCAAUAAUUGAGCCCAGCAUGCAUGUGAAUAUAAAACUCAUAAUCCUGAAGCUUUGGUGAAAUAUAGAUAAAAAUAAAGUUCUAUGUUUCAAGAAACUCUUUAUCACCUUUAGAUGUAGAUGAUAGCCAAGAAUUUUUGAUGAUCAAAUUACGUGAGUUGAUGUAAAUUCAAUAAUAAAACCUCCAUGCCCUUUAUUCUUUUAAAGUCACAAGGUUUUCUGCUAAAUCGUAAGAAAGAAGUUAUAUUAAUCUGCCAAGAUUUAUUAUUUACAUUGAUUGUUUUAAUGCAACUCAUUCUGGUGGAGUUCUCGGGCCCAUUACUCUACUUUUCCAAAUCUGUAAGUUAGGAUGAUAUGUGAUGAUAUUCAGAGUUGCCCAGAGCUACCUGAGUAAACAUGUUCUUCCUUUACUUGAUCCUAGUAAUUUUGAUGAGUUACUUCCAUCAUUAUUUCAGCAUUUGUAACGAUUUUACACAUGUGAACAAAAACUUAGGAAAAUCUGUUAUGAAGGUAGCAUGUCAUAACUAAAGUUUAUUUGCAUUGUAAAUUAUUUAUGUGACUAAUAAUCUGAACAAAUAGGAGUUAUGAUUUUCUACUUAAAGAUAGAGCAAGAGAUAAAAUUAUAGUAUUUUAGUCUAUGAUCACUAACUAUAUUCAUCAAUCAAUUAAAAUAUAUAUUCUUAGAAUCACUGAGUUGUAGCCCCGGAUCUAAAAUUAUAUCUUAGGUCACUUAACAGAACAAUAUCUUGGGUGGGAAUUCUCUGAUAGGAAUUUUAGACUGUGAAAUGAACUUAUUUUAUAAAUAUAUGCUAUUAUACAUGGUAUCAUAUUUUGAGAUAUAAGGUACAAUAACAUGCUUGGGUAUAAAAACAAAAAGAAUAGAAAAGAGUAAGACAAAAAUCCUACAAGAAAGCAUUUUAAUAUUUUUAUCCUCUAAACAGCCUUCUUUAUUAUUAAGAAACAAUUAAAAACCCAGCAUUCUGGUUUUCACUAAAUUAUUUAGAGUACUUAUUACUAAUACUGAUUCUACUGGAAGACUGCUGAAACCCUGAGUGAAAUAUGCUACCAAUAAUAUGCUUUUAGUCUCCAAAAUGCCAAAACAAAGAAUUCAUUCAGUUCUAUGAUUCAGUUGGUUUCAUCUAAAUAACUGUCAACAGAGCCCAGCCUGACCUUCUGUGGAGAGAACAAGGUGACUAGCUGAAUUUUCCAUCAUUUUACCAAGGAAACAAUCAAAUGCUGUGGGGACACCUGGGGGGAGUGAGGUAUGGAUUAUGUCUAUUUUAUCCAUUAGGAAGUGAGUUUGGCAAGAAAGGUAGAAAAACAGCCCACUAAUUUUUAACUCCAUUUUAAGGCACUAACCAAACCAUCAAAUAACGAAGUGGAAAGGUAAAAACCCCAGGUUCCCCCAUAGAAUACCUGCUGUCUCUCCAUCUUGCCCCAGCUACAACUGAUUUAUCUCUUUGCUAUGCAAACCUACCCACCCCACAGGGCAUCAGCUCCUUAGAAAAAGUCCAUCUGCCCCGAGAAUGCCAGAGUCACAUUUUCUAAAAAUGCAGUCCUUCACUCUUGGCUUAUAUUCAACUAUGAAGUGGAACCAAAUGAAGAAAAUAGGGCUGUGCAAAGCCAAUUGGGCUUAUUUUCAUACCUAAAUAUGCCUCCAGAUUUCUUCUUAUAACACACAAGGCCAUUAAGCCCUGGGAGUCUUUUUACUGCAUUUUUGAAUGUUGAUCACAUAGAGCUUGGUUUUGUAUUAGGUAAAACAACAUGUCUGAUGAUAUAUGGUAGAACACUGGUUUGGAAGAACAAGUCCUAUGUACAACCUGGAACUCAAAAACUCUUCUUUUCAGUGUUGUCUGAUCAAUUUGGGAGGAAGAAAAGGCACACACAGACACACACAGUGUAAAUACAAUUGUAUAUCUCAAUCAGCAAAGGAUCUGUCUUCCCAUGACUUCCAAUAUGAGAAGAUGAAAUGGUAAAUAACAGAUGAAAUCAAUGAAAGUAUGAUGCUAAAAAGACAGCUAAGCUUGGAAAGGGGGAAGUUAUUAGGUAUGGUGCAAGCUAAACUGCUAUAAUAAAGAGCACAGCCCAAAAUACAAUGGCUUAAAGACAAAGAAGACUUAUUCAUUUCUCAUGUAACAGUUCAGAUAUUGGCAGUCAGUUCAAGGUAGUGAGAGUCAUCCUCAAUAUGUAGCUUCUACCCUUGGGUCCAAAGUGACUGCUCCAGAAAGUUGUCACCUUUUCCAAACCAUCAAUAUAGAAAAGAAAGUACAAGUUAAAACAGCUCCCUUAUUAACAACAUGACAUUGGAAGAAGUUGAGCCCACAUCCCAUCAGCUAAAGCUUAAAACAUGGCCAUCAUACCUUGUUGCAAGAGAGACUGACAAUAUUUGGUAGUCAAUAGUGUUAAUUACAUCCAAAAAGUAACUUUGUGGGAGAGGCCCUGCAUCCAUCAGCCUAGAGGAGGCUUUCGUGUCUAGUUCUGCCAGGAUAGGGUGGUGAGAAUUCUAUUAUUAAAAGUAAGGGAAAAUGGGUACUGGGAGAAAAUUAACAAUACCUGCUAAACCAAUAAAGACUCAUAUUCCUUCAGCCCCUUCUUCAAAUUGCCAAAGGCACACAGGUGUGUUAGCCUACUUUCAAUAGCUAAGGGAAAUAAAAAUUCCAAGACAAAAAAAAUAUCAAUACAAAAAUUCAUAAAACAAUCUGCUUUUUUCCUCAAGCAUACAACAGAUAUUUUAAAGGCAACUUUUCCCUGUUUUAUAGCAUAGCUUUAUAACCAGUCUAAAUUCUACAAUUAUUCCAGAAUAACUACCCCCAACUGGAUUUUACUUUGCCAGAUAACAUAAAUGUCCCUCCUUGAAAAUCUCAGAUGGUUGUUCCCCCCAUCUUCUCCUACUCUCUCUUCCUCUACAACUUUCCACAUCCAGAAAGGUAAAAUAGGGAGCACUGCCUUCUUAUCACUGCCCAGAGUAAAGUCAAAUAAAGCCUUCCUUAUUGGUCCAUCCUAAGGCAAUAUAAAGUUUUCUCCUUAUGUUCCACUUGGAAAAAAUACAGAGAAAAAAAUCAGAAAUAUUAAAAAUUCAACAAAAUGGAAAAAUGAUUAUAUACUACAGUGAAGAGGCAAGAAAAUGUAUAGCAGCAUUUUGAUAUGUAGAAUAGAUAUUUCUAUCAGAGCUUCUUGGGGGAAACUACCAAAAUUAUUAGUGCUACUUGCCAAAUACCCUGGGUUCCUGUAUUUGGAGCAAAAGUAAGGUUUACCCACUGGAUCUUUAGUAACUGGCAGGAGCCACAUGACCAGUUUCAGCCAGUGGGUUCUAAGCAGAAAGGACAUGCAUCUUUUCCAGGCCAGAUCAUUUAACUGCAACUACAAAUCCCUCCAGAGUUUUCCUUGCCAUUGUCAUGACUACCAGGUGGUGGUGGCCCUGUGGACCUAGAUUCUGGAUUAAAGAUCAUGUAGACUACGACCAUGUCAGCAGGACAGCUGACCUAAGUGGACAAGAAGUAUGGCAGAGAUAUAAACCUUUGCUCUUUAAGCAACUGAGAUUUUGGGCUUACAUGUUACCAAGAGAAAUUUCACAUUCCCUGACUGAUGCAAGCCUUCCCUUACUUUUUGGAGUUAAUAUUUAAUGAUGACCCAUUAUACACCAGGCACUAUGCUCAUUUCAUCUUUACUCACUGUCUCUGGUGCAGAUGAGGGAACUGAUGCAAAGCUCCACAGAAAAUGGAUGGCAGAUUAAGAUCUGAGCUCUGACUCCGUGUCUAGCGUGCACACCAUUACCACCACAGCUUCAUUUAUUCAACCAUUAAAUCCUUUUUAAUCAAUCCCCCUUCAAUUUAGUCUCCAGGAAAAUCUACAGUUCCAAGUAUUCCUGUGCAUUAGAGACAUUUCCUUCUCCAAAUUGGCACACACUAGCAAAACCUAACCUUUUAAAAUCACUCUCCUCAGAAAGCACAAAAAGAGUUCAAAAGUCAGAGUUAAAAGAACAAUUUUCCUUUUAGUAAUGUCUUUCCUCCCAGACAAGAACAACAAAGGCAGCAAUCUGAAUGAUCAGCUCUCCUGGGCUCCUUAUUAGCUGUCCACUGGCCAUCCCCAGCACAGAUUGGCCGCACGCUGCCACCGUCACUAUAGAAGCACUCAGUUCCCCAUUAUGUGGCUGAGCAGGUGCCGGAUGCAAGGCUGGACGGUGACCCAAUUUACUGUGCUGCAACAACAGAACAGCACCGCAGCUGGAGAGGAGACAUUUCAGCUCUGCUCUUUUCAAAGAUAUUUGUAUAGAUAAAUGGAAGUUUAUAUGGGCACGAAGAGAAUUGUCCUCCCGACGCACAUGUGUAACUUCGAUUCUGCCAGCAGUCAUCAUCAUAAUAACUGAAGUUUAGAGAAGGGUCUUUAUCCAGAAGGAUCCCAAAGAGCAUCACAAAAACUUUAUAAAUUACAGGCGAAAAGCCUCCUUUCAGAUCCUCACGUAGAAUCUCAUGGCUAAUAUUCUGUUUUCCCGGUCCAAGGCCGCCAGAUGUCAAUGAGCGAUUACCCACACAACAGGAGAAUGAAAUAUUGGAGUGGGAACCUGCCGUGGGGUCAGGAAGAGGGGUAUUUUGCCCCCAAUACAUACAAUAAAUGUGUCUCUGCCCACCUUGGGAUUUGGAAAUGACAGUUGCUUAACAGCCACCCGCAAGCAGGGCACACAUGGCUCUACGUUAAGAGUCACAAACAACUUUGCUGCCCCCAGUGGAAAACUUCAUGGGGAUGUUAGGCAUAAAGGAUUGGAAUUUAGCCUCUUUCCUCUUGCCAGAUGUGCCAGAGGCUCACUCAUUCCAUUUUUAAUAAUGUGUACAAAUUGAGUUGGAAUAAAAACCAAAAACUCAACUAUGAAAUAAUCCCUAAAACAAAACAACUCUAGUAAUAACUGAAUGGGGGGAGGAGUAUCUAGUUGUUGGGUUAUGUUUUGGGUUUUGGUUUCCCACUACCCCAAUAACUAUGACUUAAGUUGAAGGAAAUUUAAGUCUUCAAGUUAGAUCUAGAGAAUUAAGUUCCAUCUUUCUGAUGUAUUUCUGGGAAAUUCAGAUUGAACUGGUCAUGCCUUAACUUAUGAGGAAGGCAAUAUAUUAUCCCCAUUUUCCAGAUGCAGAAACUGAGGCUCCUGCCCACACAGCUGAUAAGUGGUAGGGUCAAAAUUGAAACCAAUGUCCUCGGACUCAAGCCCAAGAUCUCACUGCCUUAAUUGUUAUGGGGAAAAGUAUGUAUCUUGAUGUAUACUAAGUAUAUGUUUUGUAAAAGAGGUAUACAACUGAAAGGAUUUAAGGUGUGUUUUUUAAAUCAAACAAUCUCUGGAGGUCCAGCUGUAUUUCAUCAGGUACAUUAAGUAGUCAUUAUGGUUUUAUUUCAUAUCAUGGGGCCUCUCUAUGCUCAACCAACAAAGUAAGUAUUUCUAAAGAUGAAUGUGAUCUGGGCUAUGACUAAAUUAUGUCAGGAACUUACUGUCUUCUAAGGAAAGCUAAAUUUAUAUUUUAAGCUUUGUAUAAGAAAGUAUAAAAACUAGAGAGCAUAUACUAGAAAUUAUAUCAUUAAAAACUAAAUCAGGCGGGUAGUAAUGAAUAUACUAAUAUU
rnacentral:lncRNA from 1 species